rnacentral:rRNA from 1 species
GACGAACGCUGGCGGCGUGCUUAACACAUGCAAGUCGAACGGAAAGGCCCUGCUUUUGUGGGGUGCUCGAGUGGCGAACGGGUGAGUAACACGUGAGUAACCUGCCCUUGACUUUGGGAUAACUUCAGGAAACUGGGGCUAAUACCGGAUAGGAGCUCCUGCUGCAUGGUGGGGGUUGGAAAGUUUCGGCGGUUGGGGAUGGACUCGCGGCUUAUCAGCUUGUUGGUGGGGUAGUGGCUUACCAAGGCUUCGACGGGUAGCCGGCCUGAGAGGGUGACCGGCCACAUUGGGACUGAGAUACGGCCGAGACUCCUACGGGAGGCAGCAGUGGGGAAUAUUGCACAAUGGGCGGAAGCCUGAUGCAGCAACGCCGCGUGCGGGAUGACGGCCUUCGGGUUGUAAACCGCUUUCGCCUGUGACGAAGCGUGAGUGACGGUAAUGGGUAAAGAAGCACCGGCUAACUACGUG